rnacentral:tRNA from 1 species
UGUCCGGUGGUGUAAUGGUAGCACAGAGGUUUUUGGUUCCUCUAGUCAAGGUUCGAUCCCUUGCCGGACAGCCA